CCUACGGGUGGCAGCAGUGGGGAAUAUUGGGCAAUGGGCGCAAGCCUGACCCAGCGACGCCGCGUGAGGGAAGACGGUCUUCGGAGUGUAAACCUCUGUCAGCAGGGAAGAAAAAAGGACGGCACAUGCAGAAGAAGACACGGCUAACUACGGGCAAGCAGCCGCGGUAAUACGUAGUUGGCAUGCGGUAUCCGGAAUUACUGGGUGUAAAGGGAGUGUAGGCGGGUUUGCAAGUCAGAAGUGAAAAUUAUGGGCUCCACCCCUAACCUGCGUCUGAAACUCCAGAUCUUGAGAGUGGGAGAGGUAAGCGGCAUUCCCGGUGUAGCGGUGACAUGCGUAGAUCUCGGGAGGAACACCAGUGGCGAAGGCGGUUUACUGGACCACAACUGACGCUGAGUCACGAAAGCGUGGCGAGCAAACAGGAUUAGAUACCCUUGUAGUC
rnacentral:rRNA from 1 species